rnacentral:lncRNA from 1 species
CAGCAGGAGAGCUUGGUUUUCUCCAAGUCCAAGAGCAGUCUCAAGCUCUCCGGGCCGUUGGAUAUGAAAGCGCACGAGAGGUUGGUGUUCAGUUACAAGAGUCCCCAACUCUGCGAGACUUCGCCGGACCGGCCGCCACUAAUGGACCGUAUGAGCCCACGGGUGGGGUUGGGUAGGCCCAUUGAUAUGAGGCGGACGAGCCCAAUGGUAAGGAGUGGAAGUGGGACGCCCAGAGGUGGUAUGAAUGGUGUAGACUUUGAUGAGCAUUCACUAUGGACUGCUCUUUUCCAGGACAUGAAACCCACUUGAUCUU